rnacentral:rRNA from 1 species
UAACGCGUGAGAAUCUGGCUCCAGGUCGGGGACAACAGUUGGAAACGACUGCUAAUACCGGAUGUGCCGAGAGGUGAAAGAUUUAUUGCCUGGAGAUGAGCUCGCGUCUGAUUAGCUAGUUGGUGUGGUAAGAGCGCACCAAGGCGACGAUCAGUAGCUGGUCUGAGAGGAUGAUCAGCCACACUGGGACUGAGACACGGCCCAGACUCCUACGGGAGGCAGCAGUGGGGAAUUUUCCGCAAUGGGCGAAAGCCUGACGGAGCAAUACCGCGUGAGGGAGGAAGGCUCUUGGGUUGUAAACCUCUUUUCUCAGGGAAUAAAAAAAUGAAGGUACCUGAGGAAUAAGCAUCGGCUAACUCCGUGCCAGCAGCCGCGGUAAUACGGAGGAUGCAAGCGUUAUCCGGAAUGAUUGGGCGUAAAGGGUCCGCAGGUGGCAAUGUAAGUCUGCUGUCAAAGAAUGAGGCUUAACCUCAUCAAGGCAGUGGAAACUACAUAGCUAGAGUACGGUCGGGGUAGAAGGAAUUCCUGGUGUAGCGGUGAAAUGCGUAGAGAUCAGGAAGAACACCGGUGGCGAAAGCGUUCUGCUAGACCUGUACUGA